GCACCCGUAGCUCAGCUGGAUAGAGUACCUGGCUACGAACUAGGGGGUCGCACGUUCGAAUCGUGCCGGGUGCGCCA
rnacentral:tRNA from 7 species